GUAGGGGGGCAAGCGUUGUCCGGGAUUUACUGGGGCGUAAAGAGCGUGUAGGCGGCCAAGCAGGUCUGUUGUGAAAACUGGGAGGGCUCAACCUCCAGACGUCGACAGAAACCGCUUGGCUAGAGUCCGGAAGAGGAGAGUGGAAUUCCUGGUGUAGCGGUGAAAUGCGCAGAUAUCAGGAAGAACACCAAUGGCGAAGGCAGCUCUCUGGGACGGUACUGACGCUGAGACGCGAAAGCGUGGGGAGCGAACAGGAUUAGAUACCCUGGUAGUCCACGCCGUAAACGAUGGGUGCUAGGUGUGGGGGGUGUCGACUCCCUCCGUGCCGCAGCUAACGCAUUAAGCACCCCGCCUGGGGAGUACGGCCGCAAAGGCUAA
rnacentral:rRNA from 1 species